ACAAAGGGAGCGCGCAUUCGGCCGGCGCGCGUCCCCGCCUUCCGUCUGGGCUGGGGCUCCAUGUAAUGGCGGAGAUGAUUUUAAUUUUCUUAGGGUAGGGGCGAUACUUCAGAAGCACGAGGAGACUUAGCAACGUUUCAGAACUGAAGGGUUACCCUGUGUUCCCGUGUCUGAAGUUCUUCCUGCUGCUACAACCAAGCUACAACUAAGGAGUAACAUACUUCACAGGUUCUCUAGCUUCAACACCUUUCCAGGUUUGUUUAGAAACUGCUUUUAAUUUCACUGCACUAGAAAUAAUGUAAAUACAUUUUAUUAUAGUUCCAAAGAAACAAGCCUUUCCGUUUACUCCAAUAUUGCUCUUCAGAGAUUGUCAUUUGUGAAACAGUGGUAUGGUGAUCCACUGAUGAGGAACAAAAUCGUCCUUUACCCACAAACAUUUUUAGUAGCUUCUAAGAAUCUCAGCUCCGCACUUUUUGGUUAACGGGGACGUCUUGUUGCCUAAUGUGAGGUAGGCUAUAUAACUAACAAAAACACGGGGCGGGAAAGGGGGAGGAUACUUUGUGUUCUCUCUUUUCAGUAUACUCCCUGACUGCUUCCUGCCAAAACUGCAAAGAGCCGGAACCUUCCUAAAUCUAGUUCAAACCUCUAGUGGUCCUGGCCCACGUCAUCAAAAGGGAAGUAUAUUAGCCAGUCCAAAGAAUUCAGUUUGUUUACCAGGUCACCUCUCCCGCUAUCUCUUGAAAUCAGUGUCAGAUAAAGCAGCUCUGUGCCAAAAGAAAGCCUUCAUAUUUUUAGAGGGGGUGGGGAGGAGGGUGAAAGCUGCAAGAGUAUGUAAAGUGACAUAUUUCAUUCCUGAAAACAAAGGAGACAAAAAGGUACGCCCCCCAACUAUAGAGUAAACCUGAGGAGCCACAGCUCAGAGACUGCAAACUGUGUCAGAUGAACAAGAAGCAACUAGACAGCUGCUGCACUCAAGGAUUUGGAGAUUUUAUUUAUUUGACAGAGAGAGAGAUACAG